CGAAGCCAAACACGCGUCAGCAUUCAGUACAAAACCAUUACACCAUAAAUAACUUGAAAUGCCGCUCUUCCAAGUAGUGAAUACUUACUAGUUGGUGUCGAACCACUUGGUCAUUUCCAUAGCGGGAACAGAGGCGUUUCCUCUGGCCAUGGAGAAGUAAACAUCAAAUCCAAUCUCGCCGCCGUUCCAGUUAUACCUCGGGGGCACGGCACCGAGCAUUGCGGUGGUGUCGAGCACUUGGUCGUAGUAGGAGAAAGUGUUGCUGGGAAUGUAUUUGAUCCCGGCCUGGGACAUCUGUUUCCAGAUGGAGGAUCUGAGAUCAGCGGACACCUUUUGCAAAUCCUCAGCGCUGCUCUUGCCAUCCCAGAAGGAUUCCAACGCGAACUUGAGCUCCCUCUUGGGGCCCAUGCGUGGGUAUCCAACGAUGUGAGAUGCCAUUUUACUGUCAUAAUCACGUCAUCAAUGAAUCGAAAAUCAGUCACUUUCAUUAAAUCAAGAAAAUAUUCAUUCAAAUGGAUGGGUCAUUGCUAUUACUGCUCAAAUCAAAUGAAAUCAAGAACACUUAUCAGAGCAUAAAAUCUUAAAUUAAUUUUUUUAUAAAAAAAUAAAAAACCAGUUGAAACAAGCUGAUAAUAAUCCAAGAGUUUGAGAUGAUUUUUUUCUUUCUGUAAUCACAUGAACAAUUAUGUACUUUCAGUCAUUUUUGAAGGAUUAAAACAAAAAAUUCUACAAAUAGAUUCUGAAAAGAAGAAUCUAAAAAUAGAUUCAAAAACAGUAACACAAGUAGAGUUCAAAUUGUUUUUCGGAAAAGAUUAAUUACAGAUCUGAUUGAUUCACGUUCAGAUCUAGCAAAAUCACGGCAGCCAAACACUAGAUCUAACACUAACAGUCACUCACCAGUCCAUUAGAAAAUGAAAUCAAGUUCAAAAUUCUUUUAAAGUUAAUUCUUUUUUAGAAAAUGACCAGAUUUUAGUUGAGUAUUAGUGAGUUUUUUACAAAAUAAUUUAUUUUUGUUUUUUAGAUCCAAAAGUUCGGAAAUCAAAACCAUGUUCAAUGCUUAUUCAUGAUUAACGGCGUAAAAACGCUACUGCAGAGAAGACAUAACGAAAAUGGGAACCGUACCAAACAGAGAAAGAAGAGCAGAGAAAUUGAGAGUCGAGAGGAGAGAGAGAAGAGAGCGGCGAGUUUGGGGGAGUGCCCUCUCCGUUAUUUAUAGCCAAAAAUCAAAUCUGGUUUGGUGGUUGCCUUUGGCGUGCCAACCUGUAGAUCUGAGAUUUUUCAUCUUAAUUUCUUUCUCUUAUUUAUUUAUUUAUUUAUUAUGAUUUUCAGUGCAGUUCAUAAAAUAUAGAGCUGACGCGCGCUUUUCUGAUGUGGCGCGUGAAUUGGAAAUGCGGUAGGUCUUUGUGGGCCCCACGGCACGGUCAGGACUGAAGGAAAAAUGUGAGAAGUUAUCAUAAUUUCAACAGUGCCAUAAUUAGCAAUUACACCACCAAAUAUUUCUUGAGUUUUUUUUUUUUGAUUGCUUUAAAUGCAGAGUUGUUAUGAAUUGUGUUAAUUGUAGAGUUGUUAUGAUUAGAUUACAUUAUAAUUCGUCACAAUUAUGAUAGGUAUGUACGUAUAUAAUAAUUUAUGAGUAAUGAUAUAACCACAAACUCUUAUACAAACUUAUUUUGUACAAAUUGAUGUGGCAUGAUAAAAUUAGUUGAAUUAAAUAUUACUUGAUCCACAUGAUUUGUUAUUAUUAUUUUAUAUUUUCAUUCAACCAAUGAAUUAAUGACACGUCAGUUUGUACAAGAUAAGUUUGUACAAGAGUUUAUGGUUGUAUCAUCACUCAUAAUUUAUAUAAGAUCUCGAAUAUUUAAAAAAUUUAUAAAUCAUUAUUUUCAUGUACAUUUACCUGGUAGCAAUGACAAUAACAUAAAAUAAACUCCAAACAAGAAUGGAUUAUAUUAUUUAUGUUAUUUUAUAGCUUUUUAAUUGAUUUUUAAAAGGAUUAAUUGUUAAUCAUUACUCUCCAACCGUAAUCACCAUUAAAUAUUUAUUUAAUUUAAUAGUCGGUAGAUCAUAAAUAAGAUUAGAAUAUUUAAUGGACAAUCUAAUUGCUACUACAAUUGUUAUCAUUUUUUUAAGGUAAGGGAUUAGACAAUACUCAAAUUUAUUUUUUAACCCCUUACUCCCUAAAGAUUCGAAUUUAACUAACUAAUUAAAUAAGACUGCUUAAAAACCACUCAACCACAUCUUUUGGGGACCAAUUAAUAUCGAUGUUUAAACUGAGGUUUAUUAUUAAAUUUUUUAAGUUUCAAGUUUCAACCGCUAACAACAUUAUCAUCGAUUAAUGAUAAAUAUAAUAAUAUUUCAUCAAAAAACCAUUUAACACAUCCAUCCAUAUUAAACAUAAGUAAAAAAUUUAUCAUGCAUUUCAAAUAUAUUUUUCAUCCUAAAAGUUAUGGAGAAAAUCUUGAUAUCAAAACUUACAAUGUAAUUAUGGGAUGUAAUUUUGCAUUUGAGGUCAGCACAACUUAAAAAUUACUAUGAAUGAAAAUUUAUAAUAAGCAGACACCACAAAAAAAAAUUAUUUAUAAGUAUUACAAUCAUGCAGUUUUAUUUAAGUAUUUAACCAAGUCAUUCAAUUUCUAAUUAAGACGGUAUAAAUUAGAUUUGGGCUGCCUAAGACCAAAAGUCAAAAAAAAAAAAAGAAUAUUCCUAAUAAGCAGCCUACCGCGGUCACGCGCCUUAAGAAACGCUUGGACUUAGCACACGAUUUUAAUCCAAAAUGUAUAAAAAAGGAAAAAUUUAUGAGGUGUAUAAUUAUCUUGAGUUGUUAUAUUUUGAAGAAACAAUGAAGAAAGUUGGUGGCCGAAGUUGAUCCGGGGCGAAUGGUGGUGGGCCCACGUUGUUGCAUUAUAAUUGGAGUUAUUGUAAUUUUUCUUAUAAUUAAUAAACUCCAUUUUUCAAAGAAAAUAAAUAAAUAAAUACACUCCCGAUUACGAAAAUAUCAUUUCAUGAGUGUCAAAGUUAGAGCUGGCAAAAUUUGACACGACCCGAUUACCUGACACGAACACGACAUAAAUAAAUAAGUAUGGAUCGUCAAAUUUAACACGAUUAUUAAAUGGGUCGGGUCUGGGUCAACACAAUUUUUUUCCGUGUCGGGUUUGGGUUAAAAUUCUUGACCCAUUUACCCGAUCAAUGACCCGAUUAUAUUUUCUAUUUUAAAAUAAUUUACAUAUUCUUAUAAUUAAAACUCAAAUAUUAGAGAUAUUUUUUUUAUUCUUUAAAAUGGUGAAUAUAAACACAGUGUUUUAUUUAUAAAAUUUUACAUACAUUUAGAGCUUCAAUAGUGUAAAUGUGUAAAAAUUGAUAGACAUGUAUAUUUUAUAAUAUUGAUAUAUAAUAUUAUAUAUAUAUAUAUAUAAUUAAAACCUCAAUAGUGUACAUGUGUAAUAUAUUGGUAGAUAUGUAUAUUUUAUAAUAUCGAUAAAUUAUGUAUGUAUGUAUUUAUGUACAUACGUAUGUAUGUAUUUAUGUAUAUACGUAUGUAUGUAUUUAUGUACAUACGUAUGUAUGAUAGUGUGUAAAUAUUUUAUGUAACUUUUGUUCAAUAUAUAGAUAUUAAACGGGUUAUUGGGUAACCCGAUUGUUUUUCCGUGUCGGGUUUGGGUCUCAAUAUUUUGACACGAUUAUUAAAUGGGUCGGGUUUGGGUCGACCUAAAUUUGACACGACACGACACGAACACGACCCGAUGACCCGUUUUGCCAGCUCUAGUCAAAGUGACCGUCACCUACGCAUCGCGUUUGUUGGGCGGGGUGGGUAAGGUGGGGCGAGGAGUUUGUUUGAUCGUCUGAUUACUUUGAUUUUGAUGAAACGUAUGGACGACGGCGAUGGCUUGCCAGCAAGUGGGUUUAUCAUGAUUUUGAUUGUAUUCGGGGAGAUGCUUAUGUAUAUCCUCAAAACUUCUUGGAAAUGAAAACCGCUGGGGUGGCAAAUCUUGACCAAUAAAGUGUGCGUGAUGUUGCGUUUAUAAAUUUCAAUAAUACUAUUGGCCGAUUGAGAUUAUUUUUAAAAAGUUUAAAAAUAAUUUUUAAAGGUUAAAUGUUAAUUUUAAUAUUGAAUAAAUUUUUAAAAAUUAUUUUUGAUAAAAUCAUUUUAUCCUCCAAUAAAUUUUAAAAAAUAGCGAUACAGUAAUUUUUUAAAAUCUAAUUUUAAUAAUCAAAACUAUUUUUUUAUAUAAUUUUAUAGAUAUCCGCAUAUAUAUAUUAUAAAAAUUCGAAAUCAUUAUUAUUAAUUAGGAAAUAAAAUCAUUAACUUUUAAGAAAUUAUUAUUAUUACCAAUUAUACUGACAUAACAAAAUAAAAAAUUAAUUAAUAUUAUAAAUAUUUAUUUCAGUUAUCAACUAUUAUAUAUACACAAUAAAAAAUAUUUUAUAUACAUAUUUAUAAAUGUAUAAAUAAUUUUUAUUCAAUAUUAUAUCGAAUUAAUCAUUUACAUUCUUGCAACAAGUUAACAAUAAAAUUUACCAAACACAUACGAUUGUUUUUAAAACUCAUAUUAUUUUUUUAAAAAAAAAUUACUAAACCUUUAACUGAUUCUCUUACAACUGAUUAUUUCUACAGUACAAUUAACAACAAUUAUUUUAAAAACUAUAACAUUUUCAAACUAGCCCCAUGACAAUAUUGUUAUUGUUGUUUUUCUUACUCUUAUCAAUAAAACUACGUUGCACAUAAGUGCAUAAAAAUUCACACAAAAUAAACUAUUUAACUUUAGGGUAUUAAUUGAAAAAAAAAAUCAGAUUAAGGUGAAUAAAUAUCAGAAAAUAACAAAUAGAUAAACUCUCACACUCUUUAAAAAAAUUAAUUUUAUAAUUUUAUUUAAAACCAACAGAUAUUACCAAACUUAACGGAUCAAUGUUCCAAUGUUUUCUUUUUAAUUUCAAAACCAACAGAUAUUCUUUGUUCAUUAUAUGACCUCCAAACAAAUAAUUUCAUUAAUAAAAUAAUAAUGAAAAGUAUCGUGGUGAGUACAGAGUAAUUCGGUGGCUAAUAAAAGUCUCUAUUUUUCGUCUCUGUUUUUCAUUUUAACUCUUGGGGUUGGUGCCACUUCGGCCUUGGUCGGAGUGGUGGGCUGCUGCCCUCACAAGUAUUGUGAGGACAGUGGUUCAAGCCCCCACAAAUAUUUUUGUGGGGGCUAACGUACUUAUUUAUUUAAUAUUUCAAAAAUUUCUUCUCCCUCGUGCAAUACGAGUGGAGUAUGGACAUCCCUCCUCUAUAAGGGAUUAUUUGUCUGGGCAUGUACUUCACAGAAUUCAAUGUAAUAAUAUAAGUCUCAAUCAUAUAUUUUUGAUUGUAAAUAUCAAUAUAAUAUAUCUGCUAUAAUAGCAGUUGUAAAUAUCUGUGUAAUGCAAUAAUAUGAUAAUUAAUCAUUAUUCAAAAAAAAAACUCUUGGGGUUGGUAGGCUCGUGAAUGGUCCACGUAACCUCUGGACGUAACACUCAAACAAAGACAGCACAAGGCACAUGAAAAAUGCCUAAAAACCGUAAAACCGUGACGUGUUCAACAUAUUAAUAAAUUUAUACUGUGUUUUCUUUUUUUUUUUAAUACUGUGUUGAUAAAGCACUUACGAUGGAACGACCAAUUCUAUUACUUGCAAAACUAAUUAAUAUUUCACUCUAUCAUCUAACUAAUGGAAGGCCAUCUUAAUUGAGGUUGCAAUAGUUAGAAAGUAGCGGGAAGGGUGGCCAAUGCUCCAUAUUAAUUUGCAUCAAUCCCUUUCUGGUGAAGAAGUACGGGUGAAGUAGAGGUCAAAGUUAGAAGAUGAAGGGUGUGUUUGGGAAUUGAGAGUGAGGUGCUGUAGUUUUUUAGCUGCAGUUGCUGUGAAAUAAAAGUUAUAACUGUGGAAUAGAAGUUGAGAAAAAAAAUUUGUUAAGCUGCCAAAGCCCAGUUACAAAUGUUACCAAACACCUUAGUAGCUAGGCUUUGGCAGCCCAUCUACCCCAUCACACUCCCAAACGGAUUAGAAGGGGACCGGGAUUGCUUUGUCAUAUUUGAAAAUGAUUUUGAAAAAAUAAAAAUUAAGUUCAGAAUUUGGUAAAUUCCUUUAAAAUUUCUUUUAGCAAAAUCACUCUCUCCUUUAGAUUUUGAAAAGUAUGGAAUGAGUAGUUUUUUAAAAUUUAAUUUUGAAAUUCGGAUUCAUAUUUAAUAUAAUACCAUAUAUCAUAACAUGUAUUAUAAAAAUCUAAAAUUAUCCUUAUUCAAUCAAUUAAGAAGUAAAAUCUUACAUUUAAAGAUAUUAUCAUUAUCAAUUAUAUUUAGAUAAUAAAAAAUACAAUUAAUAAAAUAAAAAUAUUUAUUUUAGUUAUCAAUUAUUAUAUAUAUACAUAAAAUGUAAUUAUAUAAACAUAUUUAUAAAUGUAUGUGUAAAUUAAAUUUGUAGAUUUAUGUUUAUAUAGAUCAUUUGCAUUCUUAUCACAUUUUAAAAGUGAGAUUUAUUAAAUAUAUAUAUGAUUAUUUUUAAAAUUUACAGCACUUUUUAAAACAAAAGUAUCAAAAGUUUAAUUGAUUCCUUAUUUUUACUGUACAACUAACAGUAAGAUGUGUUUGGUUCAAGUAUAAAAUGAUGGGAUUGGACAAUUUUAAGAUUAAAUAAUCCUAAUGCAAUGUUUGGUACCAAAAAUAAUUGUGGGAUAAAAAUAGUGGACCCCACCAUUUAAUCCAACACAAUGUCAAAAUUUUAUCACAAAGGGGGGUGUGGGAUAAGCUAAAACUUAAACGUAGGAUAACAAAAAAAAAGCCCAAAAUUUUAUACAACACAGUGAUUUUUUUUUUUUUUUGAGUAUGUCAUCAUCCAAUGAUAGUAUAUAUGCCAGAACACUCUUUUGACGUUAAUGAUAUGUAAUAUUUUCAUAUAUACAGCUAGUGACAUUGUUAUGUAAUUUCUUUUUCAUUUAUAGAUUUAUAUUAUUAUUAUAUUUGUUGAUGAUAUUCUUGUUAUGUUUAUAAUUAUAUUAUUUAGUAAUUUAUAAGUUUAAAAACUAUAACAUGUUAAAUAUAAGAAAAACUUUAAGCGAAGAUUUUGUAUUUUUUAACAAAUUUACCAAUAAUUUUUUAUUUAAGUUAGAUUAUAUUCCAUGUCAUUUUAAAAUAAAUCUAAGAUAAUUUUGAUAAAUUAAUAAAUAAGACAUAUUAUUAGUUACUAACCAAUUUCAUGGCAUACCAAACAUGAGAUAUGAUUAUUUACAGUCUAAUCCAACAUUGCACCAAACGUAAUAGAGUAUUAUAUAUAAUCCAAUGUUAUCAAAUCCAAUCAUAUCUUAUCCAAUCCGAUCCGAUCCAGUCUAAUCCAAUUUGACAUACCAAACAAGCCCUAAUUAUGUUAAAAACUACAUCAUUACCAAACUGACCCUUAAUACAAUCUCAUACAUACAUACAUAUAUAUAUAUAUAUUAAAAAUUAAAAAUUAUCUUUAUUUAGUUAGGAAAUAAAACCAUUAUAUUUAAAUAGAUUAAUAUUAUUACUAAUUAUAUUCAGAUAACAAAAUUAAUAAAAUAAAAAUAUUUGUUUGAUUUAUCAAUUAUUAUACACACAUAUUUAUAAAUGCAUGCGUAAAUAAAAUUUUAUAGAUUUAGGCCAAGGCGGAUGUACGGUACAGCAGUAUCUUUAUUUAGUUAGGAAAUAAAACCAUUAUAUUUAAAUAGAUUAAUAUUAUUACUAAUUAUAUUCAGAUAACAAAAUUAAUAAAAUAAAAAUAUUUGUUUGAUUUAUCAAUUAUUAUACACACAUAUUUAUAAAUGCAUGCGUAAAUAAAAUUUUAUAGAUUUAUGUCUAUUUAAAUCAUUUGCAUUCUUAUAACAUUUUAAAAAAAGAAAAGAAAAGUGAUUUACCAAAUACAUGUAAUUGUUCUUCAAACUUACAACACUUUUAAAAUAGAAUUUAAUAAAUGUUUAAUUAAUUUUUUCACAGCUGAUUAUUUUUAUGGUAUAACUAACAAUAAUCUAUAAACUUAUGGUAAAUAUUUGUGUGAAUGUUGGUCCAUGUAAAGAAGUAAAAACAACGCAUAUAUCAAGCAAUAAGAUAUCAAAACUCUUAGUAAAAUACAUAUACUAAUGAAAGAAUGACAGCAAUGCAAUAAAUAAGAUUAUAAUAUAAAUUAUUAAAAUUGUAUAUUAAAAAUUGAUGUAUGAAAUUCUUUUUAUUUUAGUGAUAGAUAAUGUGAUAUAUUUGAAUAAUUUGAUUAAAUGAAAAGAAAAAUAACAAGUAUGGUUGUGGAGGAAAUAAACCAUUGAACUGUGGAAUGUUAUUAAUUAUUGCUAUUUCAUUAUGUAACGUCCUGAUAAUAAGUACAGUGUUAUAGUAUAUUGAUGGGUGGUGAUAUUGUCACCCCUUAAAUUGUGUAAAGUCAACCUCAUUUACAAAUUUUUUGAUAUAAAUUAAAAAGUACAUUAGUUUUAAUAAAUUAUAUAUUUAUUGAAUAAACUAGAACCGUUAGGGAGCUGUAAUGUUAGCACUGUUUUAACUUAUUAUAAAAAAAAAAGUUAUGAUUUGAUCAUAACUCUAAUUUAGAAAAGAAAAAAGAGUUGAAUUGCUAACAUACUUAAAAAUAAAAUAAAAACAUUAUUAUUAGAUGAAAAAUUGUAAAACUUAAGGGGGCAUUUGCAAGUCCGCCACUACUCAAUAGAGCAUUAUUCAGUACUCGUUAAUAUAUCUCGAACUUUUAGGUUUUUUUAAUAUAUUUUUAAUACAUUUUCUAGAACAUUUAGAUAAAAAGAGUCAGUACUCCAAUUGAGUUGUGAAUAAACAUUUAGAUAAAAAGAGUCAAUACUCCAAUUGAGUUGUGAAUAAACUCAUGUUAAAAAAAAAAAAACUCAUUUUCACACUUGAAACGAUUAGUAAAUGGGUGAUACGAAUUUAACUUGGUCAAUAAUAUAUACCAUCUUAAGUUAACUUCAACUCAUUGAUCUUCUAUAGGGUUGAUCAGCCUGCCACAAGGCCCACAAAUUAUCACCUCUAAUGCUUUUGCAACAGUCGUUAUAAAUGCUGACAAAAUGAAACUUCUAUAUAUUUUGGUUUUUUUUUAUUUCUAUGAAAUAUAAGGCCCUUAUGGCAAAUUUCCAUCCAGCGUGAAAUUUGCUAGUUUGGCCUUGGUACUGUGGCACAUGCGUCAUGCAUGCGUGGCUGAGAUGCUUCUAAAACUAAUAAAUUAUGAAGAAUUCCAAAUUCGUACCAAAAAUAAGAGAAUAGGAGCUUGUCAUAGGUGUCCGCGGAUCGGAUUUUAUGGGUUAAACAUUAAUUCAUAUUUGAUUCGUGAUUUUGUAGAUUAUAAAUUUUUAAUUUAAUUCAAUUUAUGGAUUAGUGAAACUCAAUACAAAUUCAAUCCAUAUAUAUGCAAAUUAGAUGCGGAUUUAACCCAAUGCAUAUUCAAUCCAUCAUUUGGCGGAUUGAUUUGCAAAUUAAAAGUUUUUAAUUUUGUCCAAUCUAAAAAGUAAUUAAAUUAAAAAAAUCUAAUAUAUAAAUAAUUGAUUAAAUAAAAAAAUCUAAUGUAAAAAUAAUUUUACUACCAAUUAAAUUCAAAAUUGAACAAGAUUUAAAUAAAUUUAGAAUAAUACAUUCAAAAUUUUAAAAUAUAACACACCGAAAAAAAAAUUCAUUUAUUUAGAUCAAUACAUGAAAAUUAACUAAAAUUAUGAAUUUAAAUGUUGAAACUUGAAAGCUUGGAUGUAACAGGAAGAAUUUAAGAAACUUGAAGAGCUUGAAAAGAAAGUAAGAAAUUAAGUUUAAUUACCUCAAGUGGUGAAGUGAAACAGUGAUUGGCUUGUGCGUGCGGUGGGAUAGAGAUUUGGUGUUAUAUGUCAAAAUAUUUUGUUUGGCUUGGGGUUUUUGUUUUGCUUUAGAAAUUUUAAUGUUUAGGAAACUAUAUUUGCUUAUUUAAUUAUUUCUUAUUUUAUAUUGUUAUCGAAUAAAAUAUAAUAUUUUGUUAAUUUAGCUAUAAUUUUAUGCUGAAUAUAUUUAUUUAAAACGAUUUUAUUAAAUAAAUGUGCAUAUUUAACGAAGGUCUCUGAAAUUUCAACCUGCCUGCUAAUGAUAGCCAAUACGGCACGACCCACCAAAUGUCGGCCCACGCGGGCUUGUGGGCCAUGACGACUUUUUUUGUAAGGGCCCGGCACGGCCCACGGCACGAGUCCGUGCCCAAAAAAAGCCCACCUACCUUUUUUUUUUUUGUCCACAUGUUCAGCGUGCCUAAAAAAACCCACGUGCCUGACGUGCUUUUUUAAGCCCACCAGCCUAAUAGUAACAACAACAACAACAAUAAUAAUAAUUUCAUAGAAAUAAUUAAUGAAAAAUAAAAUAACAAUUCUAGAAUAACAAUUACAUCUAAUUUUAUUUGAACAACUAAUAUUAUAAUUGCACAUAAACUCUAUUGAAUGAAAAUGUAAUUUUUAAUUUAUUAUAAAAAUAUUUUGUUCAUAAUUUUAUUUUUUUGUGCGUAAAUAUGAAAAAUAUUUCAUUCACAAAUGAAACAUAUCUCCAUUAACUAUUAACUAAGUUAUGAUUUCAUAAAUGAAAUAUUAAUGUCGUAAAAUUUUUUAUUUAUCAUUUAUAAAAUCAUGAUAUUUAUUUAUCCAUUUAAUAAAUUAUAAACAUAAAAAAAUUAGAAUACUUAUUUAAACUAGGACUUAAAUUAAUUUUAAAAAGCCUAUACUAAAAAAAUAUAUUAAAAUUUUUAAUUUCAAGGUAUUUAUAAAAUCAUGAUAUUUUAUAUUUAUUUUUCAUUAAAAAAUUUUAUUUUGAUAUACUUUGGCCCACGUGCUAUUGGUGGCCCACGGGCCGCGUGCUUAGCCCACCAAUAAAGUGUGCUUAUUACAUGCCUUUUCGCGUGCCGUGUUUUGCCCCAUCUCUAAUCAUACCGUGCUUUUAAGGCCUGCGUGCCUAAAAUUCUAGGCCCGCCAGCCGUGCCGUGCCGUGCCGUGCCUCGUGCCGCCUGGCCCAUUGGCCAUCCCUACUGCCCGCCAACCACAUUUGUCCAAGAUCAAUUUGUAGGAAAAAAAUUUGAAAAUCAAUAAUUUAUUUAAUUAAUUGUUAAUGUAGGCAUUUGAAUCCCCACAAAAUCUGGGUGUCAGUUCUAGACUUCUGGUGAUAUAUUUUUCUAAUUAAGGAAUAAAAUAUUUUUGUCAUUUUUUUAAUAUUUUAAUUUACCAGGCAUAUCAACUAAUUAAUUUUUCUACUUAGACUAUUAAUUCAUUACGUGCGCAAUCUGUAGCCCGGCGCUCCAAUCCCAUGCAUGUUACACACAACUCAAUCAUUAUUUAUUUAUUUAUUUAUUUUGACCAACAACUCAAUGUUUUUUAUAGAGCUGUCAAAAUUUGACACGACCCGAUUACCCGACACGAACACGACAUAAAUAAAUGGGUAUGGGUCGUCAAAUUUAACACGAUUAUUAAAUGGGUCGGGUCCGGGUCAACACGAUUUUUUUCCGUGUCGGGUUUUGGGUUAAAAUUCUUGACCCAUUUACCCGAUCAAUGACCCGAUUAUAUUUUCUAUUUUAAAAUAAUUUACAUAUUCUUAUAAUUAAAACUCAAAUAUUAGAGAUGAUUUUCUUUUUUUUUAUUCUUUAAAAGGGUGAUAUAUUUUAUAAUAUCGAUAAAUUAUGUAUGUAUGUAUUUAUGUACAUACGUAUGUAUGAUAGUGUGGAAAUAUUUUAUGUAACUUUUGUUCAAUAUAUAGAUAUUAAACGGGUUAUUGGGUAACCCGAUUAUUUUUCCGUGUCGGGUUUGGGUCUCAAUAUUUUGACACGAUUAUUAAAUGGGUCGGGUUUGGGUCGACCUAAAUUUGACACGACACGAAACUGACACGACAUGAACACGACCCGAUGACCCGUUUUGCCAGCUCUAGUUUUUUAAUAUGAAAAGGUAUUGGUUAGCUUUGUCUUUAGUUUUUUCAACUUAUAAUAAGUUUGUAUUAAGGCUCCCUUUGGUACAGAUUUUCAAGUAAAACUUAUUUAGGGUUAUUUUUAGGGACCUCCCCUGAGGUUUGGUGUAUUAACAAUCUGAUAGAAAGUAUUCACGUAAUUACAAAGACCUCCCCUGACAUUUGUAUUAUGUUAAGUGGACUGUUAUUGACUAUUGAAAAUCCAAAAAUACCCUUCCUGCCAAAAUAUUUCUUUAUUCACUGAUGAACUGAUGGGUAAUUCGUGCCAAAAUCACAAAUUACUUAAGAAGAUGAAAAUAUCCAUUGGAUAAAAAAAAUGAAAUUGCUUAAUAAAAAAAUUGACAUUGCAUAAUAAUAAAAAAAAUUGAAAUAAUGUGCGGCGGCAUAGCUGCAUCUUGCAUGCAUAUUAUUAUUGUGAUUUUUUUAUUACAAACUCCAUCCUGCAUGCUUAUUAUUAUUGUGAUUUUUUUUAUUACAAACUACUUCAUAACUAAUACAUGCCACAAGAGCAGAGCUAUUAAAAGAAAUGAUUUUCAUAUUGUAAACUUGAUAGUACAGGUGUUGGCACCGACCAUAAAACCCUUAUGAUACCAAUCUUUGCUCCAUCCAUAUUUAAAUCCAGAUCAAGUAAAUAUUAAAUUGGAUUUCAGGUCCUGAAAAUCCCACUCUAUAAUUGAUAUCUUCGAGUUUUGUUGGUGCCUCAAACCUGGAUCUAGAGCAUCAUCUCUGUCAUACUCGGAACACCUAAACUAAUGGACUUGCUGCAGCUGCUUAUUCUUCUUCUGAAAUGAUGCACGCAGAUAGAUUACAGACUUUGAAAUAAGAAAUACAAUAAACAACAUGUAAUCGAACUUAAGAUUUCGGCAAACUUGUUUGAAAAUUAGAAUCAAACAAGGAAAAUGGCAAGUCAAUAUUUUUUAAUCUAGAAAAAGGGCAAUUUCAAAGUUUAUCACAUGCCAAAUUCAUAGUCUUGCAUCCACUAUUUUCUAGUUUGAAUAACAAACAAAAGCCUUAGACAAAAACACAGAGAACAUCUCACAUGGGAGCAAAAAUUGUGUGUAGAACAAUAUACUUAAGUUACAUGUGAUUACAAUCACAUUAUUUAGCAAAUACAAAAUUACCUUCUCAAAAAAAAAAAAAAAAAAAAAAACACCACCAAAUUAUUGAAGGUAUUACAACAAUAAGGCAAAAGAACACCAAAGGCAUGCACAAACCGAAACUAACACACAACUCAAUUAGUGUCAUGACCCCAAACUGAACAAUCAUAUAAACCAUUGUGGGCUCUCUAAAAGAUUAUCACAUUAUAAGCAAACAGAAACCUAUAUUUGAUGAACUACAUCUAGUACUUACACAACUCUUAAAUCAUUAGGAAAUUGCUCUUAUCAGUCAUUACCCAAUAGUUUUUUUCAACUCAACACUAACAACCCCAAAGAGAAACAACAUCCAGCACCAUUUUCAUUAAUUAAAACAGACCCAUUGUUAUUUUUAAUCAAUAAAAUAACAACAAUAUCGUGUAAGCCACUGAUUCAAGCAUUCAAGCUGUGUUUUCGAAGACUGACCUCUUCUUGCUAUCUAAUUCCAGUCACGAUAGACGCUAGAUGCCGGCAAUACUCGCUUCUUGGAAGCUCUGGACCACCGCACGACGUCAUCUUGUGCAGUAGAUGAAAAUAAAUCAAUGAUUUCAGAAAUUAUUUGUGAGUUGCAGACGCUUCUUCUCCAUGGAUGAAAAUGAUGGUGGGUUUUGUUCAAGUGUAAGCUGUGUUUACGAGGAGAAGUACACUUUGUGAAAAAAUCAUUUUCUUUCAUCUACUGGAUAAUGACUUUGGACUGGGUAAUGGUGUGUUUAAGUCUCUAUUUCACGGACAUUGAAGCAUAUUUUGCUUGAAUUUUGAUUUUGUUUAAAUUUCAAGUUUACUUUUACUUGUUUACCCUUUUAUACUGACGCUUAUGUAUUUUUAUACUAACGUUAAGGGAGGUCUUUGUAAUUAUAUGAAUACUUUCUAUCAGACUGUUAAUACAACAAACCUCAGGGGAGGUCCCUAAAAAUAACCCAACUUAUUUAAAUAGAACUUUUACAAAAAAAAAUUUAGUUAUUUGGUUGUCAAUAAACUUUUCAAGUAUACUUUGUUUGGUACAGCUUUUCAAGUAAAACUUAUUUAAGUAGAGCUUUUACAAAAAAAAAAAAAUUAGUUGUUUGGUUGUCAAUAAAAAUUUUUAUUAAAAAAAAUAUGAAAUUACUUUAUUAGUCAAGUUUUUUUAAAGUUAUGCUAUGAAAAGAAUAAAAUAAGAUUGUCAAAUAAAUAGAAAAUAUUUUAAAUAUUUUAACAUUUAAAAAAACUUUUUAACCUUUAUUUUCAAAAAUCUAAAAUUUAAACUUUUACUAGUAAAGGCAAAAUAAUUUAUUUAAACUUCAAAAGCUUUAUUAGAAAAAUAAUCAAACAAUAACAAAAAUUAUUAUAAAAGCUUAUCGAAUUAAAUAAGUACUUAUAGUUAUUAAAGAAGUUAUAUCUAACAGACACUAAUGCCGAAAGCCCCUUCUAAUUGUGGGUGUAAAAGUUUGAAUUAUGCAUACGGUUAAGGAGUUAAGGUGUGUUUGGCAACUGCAUUAAGUGGAAAUUUUUAUUUUGUUUCGAAUAAAAAUACAGCAAGCUCGUGUUCGGCUCAAAAUAAUGGAACGUUUAAUUUGCAACCGUCGGCGGACGAAGCACACCGUUCACGGCCCUUCGUAUAAAAUUGCAUAUGUAAACGUAAAUAGGUCCGGAUUCAGAUUCGUUGCUGUAGAGAGUGGCACGCACGAUCGGGCUGCUGUCGGUGGUAGGUUGGCAUUGGAAUUCUCAUCACGCGCUUCCCCAGGCGCCUACUUAUGGCAAAUUGACACGUGACGCGUGUGGAUUGAAUGGACAGAGUCCCGGGCAGUGUGUCCAAAGCUGCCAACCGUGCUCUGAUUUUUGUCAUCCAUAAUGGCUAACGACUAACGAGGGAGAUUUCCGGGCAGAAAGAAAUUGUUGUCGUUUCUGAAGGGGAAAAAAAAGUUAUUUAAUUUGUUGUUGAAGACAAAAUGAAGAUCUAAAUAAAUAAUGGCUAAUUUUGAGUGUAAAGCAACGGUAAAUGCAUUAUUAAAUUAGAUUUAGGGUCUGAUUGAGAUUAUUUUUAGAUUUAAAAUUAAUUUUGAAAAGUUAAAAUUAAUUUUGAUGUUUAUUAAUUUUUAUUAAAAAUUAUUUUUGUCAAAAUCUCUCAUCCUCCAGCAUAUUAUAAAAAAUAAGGAAGAAAUAAUUUUUUAAAAUUUAAUUUUAAGAAUCAGUUUUAUACUUAAUAUAAUCCACAUAUAUCCUCGUAAAUAUUAUAAAAAUUUAAAAUUAUUCUUAUUUAUUUAGGAUAUAAAAUUAUUAAAUUCAAACAUAUUAUUAUUAUUAUUAUUAUUGUUAUUAUUAUUAUUAUUAUUAUAAAUUCACACACGCACACACAUACUUAUAAAUUUAUAAAUAAACUUUAUUUAACAUUUUGUUCACUUAAAUCAUUUAUAUUCUUAUAGCAGUUUAACAUUAUGAUUUACCAAACACAGAUAAUUAUUUUUAAAAUCCAUAAUAUUUUUUAAAAUAAAUUUUAAUAAAUGUUUAACUUAUUAUUCUGACAACUGAUUUUUUUUGUAAGGUAUAACCAUUAAUAAUAAAUAUUUUAAAAGUUACAGUAUCCCCAAAUUGGCCCUUACUAAUACUCUGCGUUGCCAACUAAAUACUAAUUGUAACAUUAAACAUCUGGAAUAUUUUUCUCUAACGAAACAACACAAUUAAUUUCCCUCUAAAAAAGAAAAAGAAAAAGAAAAAAUAAACUACCAACCCCACCCCUUUAGACAGCAGAGUUUUAGCUGAGGCGGCUUGCUUGCAUAAGCAUUAAGGCUGCUCUUCACCAACCAUUGAACAUUCUUUCCAUUUGAUUGUUACACUUUACUUCGCCAUCUCAUGUCCAUGUACAUUGUUUUGAAAUGAAGACUUUGCGUACAACUAAUCUUUUUCAAUUCAUAAUAAAAACUCUUUUAAUUAGUUAAUAGCUAUAGCUUCCAAUUGAGACUAUAUAUAAAAAUCCAUAUUGACUGACCAAACCAAUAAUUUUUAAUUGGCUUGAGCAUUGUCUUACUUACUUCAAAAUCGUCACUCUCUUUGAAAAGAACAUGAGAGAGUUCACCUCCAUCUCAACCCUUAACCCUAUAUCUCAGUCAAGAGAUUAUUCAUGGAAAAUUCAGAAAAAAGAAAUGUUGCAAUAUUUACGAAACUCACGUCACGUGAGGUAAGAUAAAUUAUUCCUUUCUGCUUUAAUUCAUGUACAUAAUCAUGAGAAUAACUUUAAUUAUAGUUUAUUUCUCCGUUUUAAGAUUUUUCCUUUUUUUUUUUUAAUUAAUUAAUUAUAGUUCAUUCAUUAAUCCCAUAAGAAAUUAACACCUUUGCCGGUAAAGUCACACAUACAACAAUAUUUUAGAACAAAAGGGAAGAUCAUGCACGAUCAUGAUGUUUUAUUAUAUCUCUAGCAAUAUAAUUAUCUUAUAAUUAAUUAAAAACAAAACAGGUAAUUAAGCCAAAGUGGAUGGCAUGCAUCAAUCAUCAUGCAGAACACCUCCCCUUGUUUUAAAUAUAAAUAAAAGAAAUUUGUGCCCAGAAGACUUAAUUAAUACUUCUCGUUUCUGAAGUGCUCACAUGAUAUAUAGUCGGACGCAUUAUAUUUAAUUUCAUGAAUUAAUCGUACGGUUGUAUUUUGAGAGAGAGAGAGAGAGAGAGAGUGACUGAGUAAGAUAUGGCUUAAUUUAACCAAAUCUACGUAUAAAAUUUUAAAAUGAAUUUUUGAGUUUUAACUUAGGAAUUGUCUAUGAAUAAAAGUGUUAAUCAAAUAUUUCGUGUAAAAACAGUCAGCUGUAACAUUUUCGGUUGCUUUAACAAAACUGUAUAUUUCUGUAAUUUCCUAUAUGGGCCAAAAGGAACAUUUUUCUCAGAAAUUAAAAACUUAUGGUGAAAAAGAUAAGAAAACCAACAGGUUCAAAGGUGCGAGUAAACUGGGCUCUGGUGCGCCCAACUCCCUCUUUUGAUUUUGAGACUCUAUUGACCAUUGAGUUUGAGGCCCCAACGGCCCAGUUUAAAACUGUUAUGAAAAGAAAAAAAAUAUAACUAUAAAAUUAAAAUUAAUAAUGUUUGAUAAAUAUAAUUUUUAAAUAAUAAUUUGACAAAAAUAAUAUAGGGUCUUGUGUAUAUUUUUAUUUGGCAUUUCAAUUAAUCUGCUUAUAUAUAUAUAUAUAUAAGUUAAUCUAUAUUUCUUGCAAGAAGAUAGUAUUUCUUUAAUUAAAGUCAUAACUAAUAUAUAAAUUAUCAACUAACCAUCAAACAUUUAUCUCAUUUUAUCUCCACCACGAUCAUCACCAUUCAUCCUGUCACGAUCUUUAUGUAACUACAAUUAUUUUUUCUUUAAUAAUGUCAACCCACCAACCCCAUAACAAUAUCUCCAAACAUCUCAUCUCAAAAUUCCUAAUAACAUAAGUGUUUAUGUAUGAAAGAAAAUGUGAAAUAUAUAAUCAAAAAGUAGUUUAAUAAUAUAAUGUUUAAAAAUUAUGGUAAAAAUAAGUGAGAGUUUGGCAUGGCAAGUUAAUAAAAAGAUAAAAGCUCGGACACUUGAUGCAUCAAAGUAGCAAUGUCUGUCCAUCAUUAUCAUCAUGCGGGUUUAGGUGCUUCUCAUGAUAGCAUUAGCUGGUAAGACCAUCAUGCAUCGUACUUUCAUUGUUAUACAUUUUGAAGGUAAGAAUGGUUAUGUUACGUCCCUCCGAUUAGGUGUAUUUUUCUUCUUCUUCUUCUUCUUUUUCUUCUUCUUGUACGUAAUAAUUUCUCUUUCUUCCAUGAAGAUUUCUUUCUCUCUUUCUUUUUUUUUUUUUUAUUAUAAAUAAAAUGAUAAGAACUAAUUUCCUUACUAAUUGGUAGGGUCGUUUAAUGGUUCAGAUCCAUUAGAUUUUGUCAAAUUCAAGUCCAAUCCAUCAUAUAUUCCAUUUUAUAUUCCGGAUCCGAUCACUAAUAGAAAUCCAUUAUAAUUUAAAACAAUAAAACGUCGAAUCCAAUUUAAUUCGAUAUGAUCAAUCCAAUUAAAAUAAAAAUUUACAAAUAAAAAUCAUUAGUUGCUCUCUCCAGUUAUAAUUCUUAACAAUUAAAAAAAAUACAAAAUAUCAACUCCUUUAAUAUUUCAUGAUUCAUGUACUUUAUUAUCAUAUGGUUGGAAAAAAAAGUUGAAAUUUGAAUAUUAAAAGCAAAUGUUGGUUGCGACCUGCUGUUUGUAUUCUAUAUUGUUAUAGUAUAUUUAUAGUUAUUUUUUUAGCAAGUUAAAUAUAAAAGUGACAUAUAGUUUUUUUUUAUAAAAAAAAAUAAAUAAAGAAAAUAAAAAAUUAAUUGGUUGGAUUGGUUUAUAUUGGAUUUGAACAUAUAGAUCCAUAGACCAAUCUAAUAACAUUAUAUUUUUUAUUUUGCAAUCUUAUCCAAUCCAAUCAAAAUGUCAAUAUGACAAAAGUUGGAUUGGUUUUGAUCAGAUCGAUUGGUUUGAUUGGAUUGAAUUGAAUUAGAUCUUGAACAUCCUACCAAUUAGACUUUCCGUGAUUUUUUUUUUUCCAAAUUUAAUAAAGAGACUUCCCAUGAAUGUUAAAUGCAGUUUUAUUGAUGAAUUCUGCAAUUUUAAGAAAUGUUUGAUACACGAAUAAUGCAUCUCAUCAACCAAGUAACUGCGUCCCCUGCAGCAGCCGCGGCUUCAACUGGAAUACUGCAGCCACACCGGUCUUGAGACUCAACAUUCGGCCGAAACUCAAGCAAAAGUUGAACAAUAUCAGGCCUGCUUUGAGCUAUAGCAAUAUGAAGCAAUGUUUGUCCCUGCGCACCAGCAGAAUCAGCUGGGUGGGUUCCAAGCAGGGUCACUCUGUUCAAGAACCUCUCUUAUCUCAUCCAUUUCACCAUCCUUAACUAGCUGAACCACAACAUGGGACCCAACAAACAUGAUCUUGAUUCCUAUUGAUGAACGCUGGCUUCUUCCUUCUUGUGAACCAGUCACCAGGAACCGAAUCAAGCAUCAAUGUUGCAUCUUUAAUUGCAGCUGCAGGAACGACAACGCUAUGCAAGAGGAAGGAAUCAUCACAGUGAGGGAAAGUAUGAAGGAGAACUGAUCCUGGAGGAAGAUGAUACGCAAUCUCUAUGCUUACUGUUCCGAGUGGUUGCAUUGACCUGAAUAGUUCGAUCUAUUUCUCGUGUAUCUACUUGCGCUGCACUUUCACUCGAAGAACCUACAAAAUUAUUCAUAACCCGGCAUAAAAAAGACGUAAAGUUUUCAGCGCGAGCAUGGUAACUUCAAAACCCGUUUCAUACCUAUCAUAUUUCAUUCGUCCCGCACCCUCAUUUAAAAGACUAGAGCUUAUAAAAACUAGAAGUACCUUACCCAGAACAUAAAAGCAGACAAAACCCAGUCGAGUAUAAAUAUAACGUUGAAUAACACCUACCAUUUACCAUUUCAUUCAAGAACACCACACAAUUAACGAAACCAACAUCGGUAUGUUUUCAGCCGUUGUACUUUCAACUUAAUUUUGAAAGCGCGGCAGCUAAAGCCUAAACUGUUGUUUGAUAAAAGUCCACCCACUGACUGCUACCUGGCGGCUACCGAUUCCAUUCAAUAGCAGUCAUAAAAUAAAAAGUACAAAACAAACCUAUGUACAAAAAAGGCAAUGAAGCAGCCAUGGAUUCAGUUAUUUGCAUGUUUGGGAUUGUGGUUGAUUCCAAAUUGAGAAUAUACUGCGAAAUUAUGUUUGAUAAGCAUUUAUCUGAUGAUUGCUACUUUAUUGAGUGCCUGUUUGGUAUGGCUUAUUUAAAAGCCAUAAGUGCUUAUUUAAUCGUAUAAGCACUUUUUUAAAAUUUUUAUGGUGUUUGGUUAUUUUUUUAGUAGAGUUUUUUUAGCUUAAAUAAGCUAAUUUACCUCUACUAGCAAAAGCCCAAAAUUUGAGCUUUUGGGAGUAGAGGUUAAAGAGCUUAUCUAAAAAAUAUAUAAUAAAAAAAAUAUCAUACAGUUUAAUGAUUCAAAAGUGUUUUUUUUAUUGACAACCAAACACCCAAUGACUUUUUGUCCAAAAACUCUAUUGGUAUAAGCUCUACUGCUAUAAGCUCUAUUGUUAUAAGCUCUAUUUAAUAAGCUGUACCAAACGGAGCCUAAAGCAUUCAUUUUUUUUUUUCGCGUUUGGCCUCUUCACUUUUUAAAAAAUUUUAUGGUGUUUGGUUAUUUUUUUAGUAGAGUUUUUUUAGCUUAAAUAAGCUAAUUUACCUCUACUAGCAAAAGCCCAAAAUUUGAGCUUUUGGGAGUAGAGGUUAAAGAGCUUAUCUAAAAAAUAUAUAAUAAAAAAAAUAUCAUACAGUUUAAUGAUUCAAAAGUGUUUUUUUUAUUGACAACCAAACACCCAAUGACUUUUUGUCCAAAAACUCUAUUGGUAUAAGCUCUAUUGUUAUAAGCUCUAUUUAAUAAGCUGUACCAAACGGAGCCUGAGUCUUCAAAGAAAAACUCAAUCAACUAAUGCUCGAUUUUUUUUUUUAAAUGACAAAUCAAAAAGUAUUUUGGAGUAGAUUCUCAAAAGAGUGAUUAUUUGAUAAUCCACCAUAAUCCCACUUAGUUAUCAGAAAUAAAUUAAAAUCCGACGAAUGUUACUUAAGCCAAACAGCAUUAUUUUAUUUUGACCACAAGGACCACAACCCUCAAGCUGUCAAGCAACCGUUACCGUUAACGACCAAUCUUUCACCUCUCCGAAUCUUUGCAAGUCACUAUCAAGCAACCGUUACUAAUAUUUAAUCAAUUAUUAGGAUUAUUGGAUUUCUCAAAUACCUUAUGUACUUUGGUUCACUUUCUACUAAAAUAAAUAUUACAGGAGCUUUCAAAGUCUAGGCUAAGGUUGUUGUAAACAUAGAGAGAUUCAGAGAUAUAACAGCUUGUAAUUACAUACCACAAAGCAUAACUUUGUUCGAAUGAUAAUGAUCAUAAUCCAGAUUAUAGACGUAGAGAGAGGAGAAGUCGUACUUGAGGGGCAAAACGCGGCGUUUUGGCUCGUGGAUGAGGUGCUGCUCCUGAUCGUCGUAGAUUGAAGGGAGGAGAGGUCGGUCGAGGAAGUUUAGGAGACGGUGGAGGCUGAAUUGGUGAAUUUCGAUGAAGACUGACGAAUCCAAUGGGGCUUGAGGGUUUGAUUUGCAAAGAUGAAAGAUAAGAGCAUUGUUUUGGUUUCUGUGCAAAAAAAAAAAAAAAAAACAUGACAAGCGUUGUUUUGGUUUUGGUUCUAAAAAGAUGAAAAUUUGACUGCAAUGGAUCCAUACGCAGUCGGUGUCAAAUAAGAGGAGAAACAAAUAUGUUAAUCACUCGCUCAAUCACUCAUGCGAAGUGCCUUUUUUUUCGUUGCUUUGGCUUCUGAGAAAUAUAUGCAUCAGAUAUUACAACUCUCGAGGAUAAUGCAUUUUGUUCCGGUUUUGACUGAUAUUUAGUGGCAUUUGAUAAACUGAUACCUCAGAACCUGGUAGAGAGUUUAUUAAAUACAAAGAGAACAAAAAUAUAUGACUAUAUAAGCUUUUACACGGUUGAAGAUCCGGUCAAAUUGGCUUUAGUUAGCAAGAUCAUUUAAAACUUUCAAAAAACGAAUGGUAUCAAAAAGCUCUGAGAAAAAGCGGAAAAAAGGCACCACAAAGAUCUUGCAAUUAUUAUCACAGCUUGAUAAGACAUGGAAAUGUAUCUUACAAAUUGGCCUUCCAAGCAUCAAAGAAUUGGGUGGCGACAACUCCCAUUCCUAGCUGCUACCGUGGCCAGUCCCUUCUAACUAAAAUGGGACAGGACCAAAAGCAAGGUCUCUCCCACUCUCCUUAUGUAUAUAAAAUUCCCUACAUUCGAAUAAAACUACAGAAAAAGAUUUGCACAUCAUCUUCUUUCACCUUAUUUUGCAAUCUUCAAGAGUUUGGAAGAUUUCAAAGCACUUGUUAGAAUGUAGCACUCCAUUAAGCAUUCUCACCUUCCCCACACCCCAAUGGACCUCCUUAAUCCUAUCGGCAGACCUACAAAUUCUGCUGCAACUCCAAUCAAAUAAAGCAACACAAUUGUUGCCUGCCUAAGCCUUCCACUCACAGCCUGCAAUGACAAGUUCAUGAUACAAAAUCAGAAACAUUAAUAAACAAAAAGAUAUUACCAUUACUUGCAGAGGGGGAUUUGUUGCAAUUAGUAAAUGCCAUACUUAUCACUUUCAUUGCAGAUAUCAUCAUCAUCAUAAUACUAGCAAUCCAGCACUAAUAGUCAGAAUAAUAAUAAUAGUAGCAUGAAUAAAGAAUUUCUGCAGAGUAAGCUCUAAAGAUGCCGAAAGUGUCAUCUAUUAUGUUAAUAAUAAAAAAGUCUAUCAAGAAUUCAAGGAAAGAAAACUCAUUAACAAAGAACUAAACUUUUUAAUAAUGUUUAAUAAACUACGUACCUAUGAUUUUCUAUUAUUAACAUAAAUGACACUACGUACAACUGAUUUUCGCUUUCUAAUGUUUCAAAUCAUACCGAGAAAUAUAACAAUUACCAAGUCAGUAAGUAGCACAAUUACUUAAUAAGACUUUGACUUGUCUAACCCAAAAUUGUACCCAAUUCUAUACUCUACCAUGAAAAGCUUAUGAAGCCGAACUUACUUUGACCAAACAGUACUAUUAGCUCAGUUAAAGGAAACCACAAUUGAACAAAGUUCAGCUGAAAUAACUGAACUAAAAAAACUUGAUAAAAUUAAAAGUAACUUAUAACAGUUUAGUAAAGAAGCAUACAAAACAUGAAGAUAAAUAAACAUAGGUCUAUUUUCUUGACACUACCAGGUCCUUUCCUUUUUUUUUUUUCAGAUAAGAUCUCGAUACUACCAAGUUUUGGAUUCAAAAUCACCAUAUUACAAUAAUAGUUGUGAUUCAUGGGAUACAAUAUGUAGCAGCUUAUAUGUCGGCAAUUAUAGUCAAAGAUGGUUGUCAAACAUCAUCGCAAAUCAAGAAGCUAAUAAAGACCAUGUCACACUACAUUAACAUAUAUCAGUUCUUUGAUACAAAGAUAUUGAAUGUUAUACAUUUCUAAUCCCAAGUCCUGAAAUACAAAACAAAAGUUCACUUCACACAGUCAUAAAGCUAGACUGCUAGAUAAAUGGACAAUAGGCAUUGGAUAUGGGUCAAUAAACUAUUAAGCUAAUUAAUGCACACGAAGGAAUCCGUUAGAGCUAGUAAAAUAGCCCUUACCAGAGAACUCGCAGAAGCAUUCAAUUUCCUCAAAGGAGAUAACUUACAACAUAAACAUUUUGAUAAGCAGCAACACACAUAAAAUAGCUUCACUCACUAGCAACAGAGCAACUUCUUCAACACAUUAAUAAAUCCAUUUUCAUUUUUAAACAACAAAAUAAUGCCCAGUUUCUCCAGCACAAAUAGGGUAAGCAGUAAUAGAAAAACAUGAUACAUAGGAAUUACCGGCCUCAAGAAAUCUCCAAGCUUUCUGUCCUCUGCUUCAAUUGCUCAAUCAAGAAUGCCCCAGACGUUGCGCUAGCGUGGUGGUGGAGCGUCGCGAAGCGUGUGGCGGCGGUGUCGGCGAAGGCAGGUCAUGAAGAUAGUUGGUGUCGCGCAGCGAAGGCAGUGCAGCUGGUGUCAUGCGGCGAAGGCAAAUCGCGUGGUGGUGGAGUUGGGGUCGCGCGGCAGUGGCGGUGCGGUGCUGAGGCAUAAUAGUGGCGGUGGCGUUGUGCGACAGUGGCAGUGUGGAGGCAGAUUGCGUGGAGCUGGCGGUGUUGAGGCAGAUCGCGUGGAGGCAGAUGCCGCGGUGGUGGAGUUGCUGUCGCGAUCAACGCCUGUGAAAGGGAAUGAAAGUGAAGGAGAUACCUACAAAAGAAAGAACGAGUGAAAUUUUUUUUUUUGUUCAAGGGUUUCAAACCCACAUAAACCCGACUCUCACACGGGUUCAGUAAGUUUAUGCGGGUUUGACUGCAUUACAAAUUGGUAUGACCACAACAACAGUACAAUGAUUGGUAAUUACCAAACAUGCUAUUUAUGUUGGUAUUAAAUUAAUUUAAUACAAUGAGGAGUGGUAAUAUCAUACAAUGAGGACUGUUAAAUAUGGUGUGUUUAAUAUGUUGUAUUGUAUUAUAUUAUUUUAAUACAAAUAUAUUAUAUUAUCUUGUAUUAUAAUAUAAAAUAAUGAAAAAUAUCGAAUUUCAAUAUAUAAAAAAAAAAUAAAUAUAUUUUGUUAUAUUCGAUCUGCUGUACGGCCAAGGCGGAUGUACGGUACAGCAGAUAAGAAUUUAAAUACAUACACUUAUAAUACAACUUAGUUUUUCCACAUUGUCGAGGGAUCAAAACAACCCAUCAUUGGAGUCCAAUAAGUUAUGUGGCGACACAAAAAAGUAAUUCUAUAUUUUUUACGUCAUAAAUAUGUAAAAAAAAUUGUAUUAUAUCUUAUUAUUAUUAGUUUUUUUUCUUCAGUUUUGACAAGUAUAGUUUUCUUGUUGAGUGGCUCAACAAGGCUGGUUACAAUUUCGAAAUAAUGUUCCAUCUGUAUCUGUUUUCCUUUUGUUUUUGAUUUUGUAGUAUAGUUAAUUUGUACGAAUUUGUUGCCUGGUUGGUUUUUAUGCUGAAAAGUCAGUUCAUUGGAAAUGACAGAAAAUUGUUUUUCUUUUUCAUUUUUACAGAAAGAGAUUUGCAACGUUAUAAAAGUAAGAGAUCCUAAGAGAUCCCUGAAUCAUAUUAAAUAUUAAACUUAAGAUACAGUCAAGGCUUUUAUUAUGUUACUAAUCAUGUAACGAAUAUAAUUAUGUAGCAGUCGUUAAAUACAAAUUUAACAGUUAUAAAAAUAACAUGAUUUUAUUAUCUUAUAUUUCUAUAAUCGUUGAAUUUUUAUCUGCUGUACCGUACAUCCGCCUUGGCCGUACAGCAGUAUUGAAUUUUAAAAAUUUAAUAUUAUUUUUUUAAUAUAAAUAUUAAAAAAUAUCAUAAUUCUUCAUAGAAAUCGAAGUUCAUGGCAUUAAAUUUUUAACGCCGCAUACAUAAUAAAAAAUUUGAUUCUCUAGUGCCAAUAUAAUAGAAUACAUAAAAACGAGACUGAGAAACUACGAAUAAAGCUCAUCAUCAAGGACUCCACAACAUUAUAAGAAGUACUAUGUAACAUUUGCCAAAUUACAACACCACAUCAAGACAUAUCACAAUGUAAAAUUUUUCCUAGAGAUUUGGUAAUUGAAAAACACAAUUCAAGUUGAAAACUGAUAGUCGACUUGAAAAGUUUUAACAUAUCCCAUAAAAGAAAUGUGCCAUGCCAAAAAUCCUAACCCUUGGCUCUUUGACGAUAAGAAAAUAUUGAAAAUUCCAAAGUACAGUGCAAUGGGAGAAAGAAUGCCUAUAAAGCUAGUAAAGAUAUUCUUAAACUACUAUUGGGAUGUUGGGCUGGUUGGUAGCAAAACCCAAACCCUGCUGCUGAUUUCCGAUACCACCAUCUUGGAUAAGCCGCUCUCCCUCCUCUUCCUAACUCCUAAGCCCAAUAUCUUUCCAAAACCUUCACAACCCACUCAUAAAUCUCAUUGUUGUCGUGGAUAUGCAAAUUCUCAAUCUUUUCUACUCCAUCACACUCAUCAAUCAUUUGGGUAUAAACAUUAACCCAAUUAUCCAUUCCUAUUUCCUUGUUAACCUCACCCACCUUGAAAAUGUUCUCAAGACCCUAUAGACAAACUGUGACGAUCCUUUGGUCCAGACAAACCAGAAGAUCACAGAGCGGUUUGAUGCAACCUUGGCUCACCAGGAAUCUGCAGGACCAUGGUACCAUAAGUGAUUCUAUCACAUGAACAUCAUUAGAUUAAAAAAAGAAAAAAAAAAGAAACAUCUAUCGUAUGAACAUUGCUGAGUGAAUAAAAGAAACAUACUGAAUAUGUUCAUGAGAUCCUCCAUAUGUGGCAUUUAAGACAGGCCAUGCAGCCUCCUUGAUUUCAAGUUCUGCAUGUUGAAGAAGAGGUGCACAAAAGGAAGGAUAAGGAAGGAUGAUAUUGGCCUCCAUAACAGCCUGUUGAACAAAAAUUCGACAAAUUAUAAUUAUGAGUAUAUUUAAGUAGCAAUUUUGUCAGAAUUAACUAGACUUGACUAUUGAGGAAGUCACAUUCAAAAAUAGAAAAGACGAGCAAGCAAUUGUAUUCAUGCUAUCGGGACCAAAAUACUAUGAUGCAAGCAAGAAAGAAAAACAUACAUACAUAUAAAACACUAUCUUUGAGUUGGGUAUUUUCUUUCAAUUUUGAUAAUGGCAACUUUGGAUUCUUCUGCUGAAUUACCACCACCACCACACCAUUGUAGUUUCACAUACUAAGAAAAGGCAGGUUCAGCUCCCGUGCAUGCCCAUAAGAAUAUGAUGUAUUAAUUAGAAGUAAAAUUAAUCUGUUCAAUUAAGUUCUCUCAUAUAUUUGUGUGCGUGUGUGUGUUAAUUAGUUUGCUUUCAAAUCUUUUCUCCCUUCUUAAUGAUAUAUAUUUUAAGCAUGAUAUCAACCACGAUGAAUUUAUUAGCCGAUUUUUAAUUAUACAUUCAGCAUGAUAUCACAAACCAAGAGCUUAAGUUAGCCUAAUUCUUCAUAAAUCUAAUAAUUGCAAUCAAUAAUAAUGCUGAAAAUACGAGUUUGAAUUAAGCUAGCAACUGGUUCUUAAAUUAUGCAAUAUGUAAUCAUAGGUUUACUUAAAGAUUAAAGCAUUUCUGCAAUCCAUUGUGCAAAAAGAUUAAAAAAAAAAAAAAUAGUUGCCAAAUUUUAUCUAAAUAAAAAUUCCUUUAGUGGUUAGUACUUGUGAAUUAUAGAAAUUAUUAUUAGUACUUGCUCAGCGCUUUUUAGAUUUGUACAGGUAGAUUACGCCAUUUCAAACCCGACCAUCCAUUUAGACAUACAAAUCCCCCCAAUUCCCUGUCCUCCGCCUUUACGCGACUCUCCACUGUAUGUGCCAACUAAUUAAUUUUUUAAUUACUUGUUUAACUAAUUAAUUCAUUUUCUCAAAAGCAAGAUUAAUCUAUUUGUUCAAAUCUGAAGGAGAUUAAGUUAAUUGAUUUUAUUGUAUGUAAAAAUAUACAAAGAACUCAUGAAGCCAACUAGAAAAAAAAAAAAAGACAAAAAAAAAAUCAAACCCAGAAAUAAAAAGACAUGCUUCGACAGAAAAUUAAUGAAAAUUAUACUGAUUGUGGUUCAAUUUGAUCAAACCCAAAUAAUAACCGGUUUGAUUGAUGACUCAGCGGCAAAGUGCAGGCGCAUCAGUGGUUGCACAGAUGAGUGUUCUCGUGCGGCACGACAAAGCAAUUGUCGGCGAUUGUGAUUGGUGAUGACAUCGAGCGAUGGGGGUAAUGGCAUCGGUCGUGACUUUGUGAUGGAGAAACGAAUGUUAGAUUCGUUCGAAGAUUCGUGUUUUGAUUGAAUAACAAAGAGAGAUUUUAUGAGUUUUAAUUAUCUAAUACGAUACCGCAUAAACCCGACUCGUACGUGGGUUUAUUUUAUGCGGGUUUCGGUGUACUAAAGCAGUAAAUUUAUGUGGUGCAAUUCAAACUGAUUUCACCGCCAAAAGAUCGUGUAAAUUUAAUAUUAUACAGGGUUUUAAUACUAUGUAAUCCAAUACACCAAACAUGCCCUUAAAAACGGAUAGCAAUCCGGGGCCUUUAAAAACGGAAAAUACAAGCAGAGAAAAAGAAAAGCCAAUUGUUCAAAAGUGCCUAAUAUGCCCACGGAAAAUUUUCGUCACGACCCACAGUUACUCGAAUAGGUAAUAAGACAGGAAUGCCUUUGUUUGUUCGAAUAUAGAAGCACAAUGGCUCAGAAAGGAUCCCUCCAAUCUCCUUGGCACUGUCAGCUGGGUGCGGAGUAGCUUGGUGGCAGCAACCAUGUUUGAGAGGGCUGGCUUCACCUCAGUGUACUUGCGAGUCUUGAGACCACAGUCAGGGUUAACCCACAAAAUGUUGGUUUCUAGCACAGUACGCAUCUCGUAGAUUCUGUCAACAAUUUCUUCGGUUGAUGGUAUUCUUGGAGAGUGGAUGUCAUAGACGCCAGGGCCAAUUGCAGCAUCAUACUGGACUCCCUCACGGAAGACUGACAGGAGAUUCUCAUUAGAACGAGAGUUCUCAAUGGUGAUCACAUCAGCAUCCAUGUCGAUAAUUGAGUGGAUAAUGUCGUUGAAGUUGGAGUAGCACAUGUGGGUGUGGAUCUGUCAAUCAAUAAACAAUAGAAUGAGAUACAAAAUCAACAGCUAAAUUAAAGAGAUGAGAUUGGAGAUUAAAAGGGUAACUGACCUGGGUAGUGUCCUGGAUGCCACAGUUGGUGAUUCUGAAGGAGUGGACUGCCCAGUCCAAGUAGAAAGCAUGCUCAGAUUUCCUGAGAGGCAAUCCUUCCCUCAAGGCAGCCUCAUCAAUUUGAAUAACGUUAAUGCCUGCCUUCUCAAGAUCCUCGACUUCGUCCUUGAUGGCCAAAGCAAUCUGGUAGCAGGUUUCAUGUCUGCAAAAUUGGCAGCGAUUGAUGUUAAACAAUGUUUCCAUUCCAAAAGGUUAACCAAUAGUGAACCAGUUCUCAUUUAUAUACCUGGGCUGGUCAUUUCUGACAAAGGACCAGUUGAGAAUGGUGACAGGGCCAGUAAGCAUUCCCUUCAUUGGGCGAGCAGUCAUGCUCUGAGCCCAGGAGGACCAGAAGACGGUCAUAGCCUUGGGACGGCUCACAUCACCAUAGAUGAUGGGUGGCUUCACACAGCGAGAUCCAUAGGAUUGCACCCACCCAUUGGCAGUGAAGGCGAAACCUGAUAACUGCUCUCCAAAGUACUCAACCAUGUCGUUUCUCUACAAAAACAAAUGUCCGAAUUCAAUUUGAGAUCCAGCAUACUUCGUAUGCAAUUAGAAAUGCAGAAACAAAAAUGUAUAAAAUUUUAUGUAAUUCAAAACCAGGAGACAUUGCUUUGCUUCCAUUGGGCAUUGCGAGACUCACCUCAGGCUCUCCAUGGACAAGGACAUCAAUAUCAAGCUCUUCUUGGAGUUUGACAACCUUGUUGAUUUCCUCCUUGAUGGAAGCAACAUAUUCUUCCUCAGAAAUCCUAAAAAGGACAAAUAGUCACGGCACAGUUAAUACAGUAGUUGCAGUAAUUUCACACAUGGCAUUGAAUGAAGAAACACCUCAGAUUGACUCACUUCUUAGCCUUGUAUUCACGGCGGACUCUCCUAAGUUCAAUGGUUUGUGGGAAGGAUCCAAUUGUGGUGGUUGGGAGGAUUGGAAGAUUGAGCUUCUUCUGUUGAGCAUCUAAUCUAGCACUAACGUUUGUAGCACGUCUGUGGUCUGAUCCCCUCAAAGCAGCAGCCUAAUAGACCAAGAGGAAGGAAUCACUGUUAGCAAAAAAGGAAAUUCUAAGGGACAGCCACAUCAUAAAAAUGGAAAACAAAUCAAUCAUGCCACUUACAGCCUUUUGAACUGCCUCAUUGGUCACUCUCGGGGAGGACUUUCUUGAAGCCUGAGCUGCAGCAUUGGCAGAGAAGAAUCCCUGGAAACAAAUGAUAAGGAGAACCAAAGUUAGUCUCAUUCAUAUCAUUUUAAAAAGAAGAUACAUAUGCAAUUAGUGGGCUGAUUGUGAGAGAAAAAGUCCCCAAAACUUUAAUCAAACACCAAAUGCCCAAGUUGCCAAAUGAUGUUUAAUUCGGAAAAAUAUAUUUAAAAACAUUCAAAUAUAAUUUCCCCUUCUAAAUUUUCAUUUUCAACAACAUAUUUUACAAGCCAAGCUCAACGUCAGGCCAAGAUUUUGUGCUCCUAUAAUUAUAUUUUACCAUAAAACUAGGUCCUUGAAAGGCUAAGAUUUUCUGACUCUUGUGACUAGUCAAAGCCUAAGAUUCUUUCAAUUCAUCCGUAGUAAAAGUAUACCUCAUCCUUUUGGCCAGCCAAAGCCUUGGCCAAUGCAUUGACUUCAACAACUUUCUGGGCAGCAAAUGCCAGCCAUGACUUGAUUUCGUCGUCGAGUUUGUUCUCAUUAACAAGAUCAACAGCAGUGUGAAGAAGUGAGCAGGAGGUGGAGACCACAAGCUUGUCUGCAAAGAAAAGUAAUAAAUUAUACAACAAAUCCCAUAAUAGAAUAAGAAAUAUUUAUCACAAAGAAAAAUGCAAGCAAAGGAUGUAUACCUUUGCCAACAACACCCUCAAGCCCCCGGAGAACACUAAGAGAAGCAGCAAGAUCAUUGGCCCAAAUGUUCCUUCCAUCAACCACUCCAGCAAAGAGGUACUUGCCAGCAGGGAAUCCACUCUUGAUCAAUUCAAGGGUCUUGGUUCCACGAACCAAAUCAAAUCCAUAAGCGGUGACACCCUUCAAAGAAGUGAGGGUCUGGAAUGCCUCAGCUGGAACAUCAGCAAAGUAGGUCUCAACAAGAACAUUCAAGCCAGACAGAGUUGACUCUAGUUCCGCGUAAGCCUCACUGAAUGCUUGCAAUUUGUGUGAGUCAAGAUCCGUAACAAGCAAUGGCUCAUCAAACUGAAUCCAGGAAGCACCAGCAGCCUUAAGCUCAGAAACAACUUCCCUGCAGAAGUGUUAAUUGGUACGACACGGAUUAAUGAUGCCACACGAUACACACACACACACACACACACACACACACACACACACACACACACACACACACACACACACACACACACACACACACACACACACACACACACACACACACACACACACACACACACAGACAGAGUUAUUUAGCACAUACACGUUUAUAAAUCUGUAAAUAGGUGAUAAUUCUUACUUGUAGAUCGGAAGGAUUUUGGGAAGAAGAGAGAGAACAGAAAAGGUCUUCUCAACCCCCCAGGCAGGCUUAGACAGCAACAAGUAUGACACAGGGCCAAUAAGCACUGGGACAGUUUCAACUCCAUGCUGCAGCAUUAGACAAGUGGUAGAUAUUAGCAUCUCACAAACUUGAUCUGACUGAUAGAAAGUUACAAGCAAGUUAAGAAUAUGUUUGAUGAAAUUUCAAUGAAAAAUCUUCAGGGUCCACAACAUGUUGACUAUACCCUUUUUAAGUAAUUUAUCUUAAGACUAUUUUGCAAACAGUAUUGCUUCCCUUUACAGAUCAAAUAAAUCAUACAACAUCUGAACGCAUUUCCUGAGCCAAAUAUAAGUUCAAAGCUCUAUAAUAAAUGUCAAUGACUCUAUAGUAAAUUCCAUCACAUUCUGAGCUAUGGAUGAGCAUAUCAUAUGCCAAUUUCAAGUUGAACGUAACCCAAUUUCAACAUAUUGUAGAUUCAAGUAUCAAACGAAAAAAAAAAUAUUGUAAAUAUAGACAGAACUGAGAACAAACACUCACCCCCUUAGCCUCCUUGUACUCAGUCACAGCCUUGUGGGAAGCGUAGGAGAACUUAACAUCGGGUCCCAAUUCAGGAACAAUGAAAUGACUGCAUCAACACGAAGCCAAACACACGUCAGCAUUCAGUACAAAACCAUUACACCAUAACUAACUUGAAAUGCCGCUCUUCCAAGUAGUGAAUACUUACUAGUUGGUGUCGAACCACUUGGUCAUUUCCAUUGCGAGAACAGAGGCGUUUCCUCUGGCCAUGGAGAAGUAAACAUCGAAUCCAAUCUCGCCGCCGUUCCAGUUAAACCUCGGGGGCACGGCACCGAGCAUUGCGGUGGUGUCGAGCACUUGGUCGUAGUAGGAGAAAGUGUUGCUGGGAAUGUAUUUGAUCCCGGCCUCGGACAUCUGUUUCCAGAUGGAGGAUCUGAGAUCAGCGGACACCUUUUGCAAAUCCUCGGCGCUGCUCUUGCCAUCCCAGAAGGAUUCCAACGCGAACUUGAGCUCCC
rnacentral:lncRNA from 1 species